rnacentral:lncRNA from 1 species
UGGUUUACUCGUGUCGUCAUUCGUCGUGGGCACCUUGUCCCCGGGGCCGGCCAGUUACUUGGCCUCCUGGCUCAUCAUCCUGCCGGAAGCAUCUCCAGCUUGGGGAUGUUGGAGGGUCCCUGGCCCCACCUGGCUGGGGAUGGAGUGUCUUCCAAAACCGCGAGAAAUAAAUGUCUGUGUCUAAACCCCAACCCUACCACCUCAACUGCCGUGUGUGGUGUUUUGUGAUGGCAGCCCCAGCUGACUGAGACACCUGGUUAGACCGGAAUAAGCAGGCUGCAAUCGGUAGCAGUCACCAUUGAACAUCCUUGAAGCAAUUCUUCCAAAAUUACCUUGCAUCAAAGACUGCACAAGAACUGCUCUAAGCGGAAGGACUGAUGUCGGCAACCAGGGUUCCACCAGGGGCUGCAGACAGCCCUUGACCUUCAGAAGUAACCAAAUUUACUCACGUAGGCCAGGAAUUUCUAUGACGUGUUCCAAAUUCAGCCUCUCACUGAACACUUCCAGAGCAAGGCAACAUAAACAUCUGCAAGAAGAACAUUGUGUGAGAAAUAUCAAGUGAGAGUGGAAGAGUCUGCGGAGGGCCUCCCUGGGGCUCACCUGUGCUUUUGCCUGAGCUUCACCGUGUCAAGCACUUUUUCCCUCUGGAGGAAGCAGCUUUCACCUUGGAAGAAUCUUGACCUUGCCAUUCAAAGUCACCAGACAGGGAAUCUGCCAGUGCCUUGAUCUUAGACUUCCCAGCUUCUGUAACUGUGAGCAAUAAAUGUAUGCUGCUUAUAAACUA